rnacentral:tRNA from 1 species
GAAUAUAUAGCUUAGUGUUAGAGCACUUGCCUAAUAUGCAUGAGACCCUGGGUUCAAUCCCCAGAAUCA